UACGUAGGGUGCAAGCGUUGUCCGGAAUUAUUGGGCGUAAAGAGCUCGUAGGCGGUUUGUCGCGUCUGCUGUGAAAAUCCAGGGCUUAACCCUGGACCUGCAGUGGGUACGGGCAGACUAGAGUGCGGUAGGGGAGAUCGGAAUUCCUGGUGUAGCGGUGAAAUGCGCAGAUAUCAGGAGGACACCGGUGGCGAAGGCGGAUCUCUGGGCCGUAACUGACGCUGAGGAGCGAAAGCAUGGGGAGCGAACAGG
rnacentral:rRNA from 1 species